rnacentral:rRNA from 1 species
GAAUCUUCCGCAAUGGACGAAAGUCUGACGGAGCAACGCCCCGUGAGUGAAGAAGGUUUUCGGAUCGUAAAAAUCUGUUGUCGGAGAAGAACAAGUAGGAGAGUAACUGUUCCUAACUUGACGGUACCCGACCAGAAAGCCACGGCUAAAUACGUUCCAGCCACCACGGUAAUACGACGGUGGCAAGCGUUGUCCGGAUUUAGUGGGCGUAAAGCGAGCGCAGUUGGUUUCUUAAGCCUGAUGUGAAAGCCCACGGCUCAACCGUGGAAGGUCAUUGGAAACUGGGGAACUUGAAUGCAGAAGAGGAGAGUGGAAUUCCAUGUGUAGCGGUGAAAUGCGUAUAUAUAUGGAGGAACACCAGUGGCGAAGGCGACUCUCUGGUCUGUUAUUGACACUGAGGCUCGAAAGCGUGGGGAGCAAACA